AGCGAACGCUGGCGGCAGGCCUAACACAUGCAAGUCGAACGAACCUUUCGGGGUGAGCGGCGGACGGGUGAGUAACGCGUGGGAACGUGCCCUUCUCUGCGGAAUAGCCUCGGGAAACUGAGAGUAAUACCGCAUACGCCCUUUGGGGGAAAGAUUUAUCGGAGAAGGAUCGGCCCGCGUUGGAUUAGGUAGUUGGUGGGGUAAUGGCCCACCAAGCCGACGAUCCAUAGCUGGUUUGAGAGGAUGAUCAGCCACACUGGGACUGAGACACGGCCCAGACUCCUACGGGAGGCAGCAGUGGGGAAUCUUAGACAAUGGGGGCAACCCUGAUCUAGCCAUGCCGCGUGAGUGAUGAAGGCCUUAGGGUUGUAAAGCUCUUUCAGCUGGGAAGAUAAUGACGGUACCAGCAGAAGAAGCCCCGGCUAACUCCGUG
rnacentral:rRNA from 1 species